GUAAGAACGGCCGCUAUUGGGAUUGCUGCAUUCAUGAAGACUGAAAACAAACAAACAAGACGUUCGAGUUGCAAAAUCAAAGACAGGUCCGGCACAGACAGACAGACAGACAGGAGAUGGCGAUAAUGCUGAAGGAAACGCUUCAGGAGGCUCACUGGAGACAGAUGUGUAGAGGGCGAAGGUCUUCAGGCUGCUUGGUGGCCACGAAGUACUGCACUGGGGCCAGGACGGCGAUGACCGUGGCCCCGAUCAAGGCACUUACUCCCAGGAGGUAAUAGAGGAG